AACGAACGCUGGCGGCAGGCUUAACACAUGCAAGUCGAACGAUGUAGCAAUACAUAGUGGCGCACGGGUGAGUAACGCGUGGGAAUAUACCUUAUAGUGGGGAAUAACUUUGGGAAACUAAAGCUAAUACCGCAUACGCCCGAGAGGGGAAAGAUUUAUCGCUAUAAGAUUAGCCCGCGUGAGAUUAGGUAGUUGGUGGGGUAAUGGCCUACCAAGUCUACGAUCUCUAGCUGGUCUGAGAGGAUGAUCAGCCACACUGGAACUGAGACACGGUCCAGACUCCUACGGGAGGCAGCAGUGGGGAAUAUUGGGCAAUGGAGGAAACUCUGACCCAGCCAUGCCGCGUGAAUGAUGAAGGCCUUAGGGUUGUAAAGUUCUUUCGCCGAUGAAGAUAAUGACGGUAGUCGGAGAAGAAGCCCCGGCUAACUUCGUGCCAGCCGCCGCCGUAA
rnacentral:rRNA from 1 species